rnacentral:rRNA from 1 species
CAGGACGAACGCUGGCGGCGUGCCUAACACAUGCAAGUCGAGCGAGGAGAUCCUCGGGAUGAUCCUAGCGGCGGACGGGUGAGUAACACGUGGGCAACCUGCCUCAUAGAGAGGAAUAGCCUUCCGAAAGGGAGAUUAAUACCUCAUAACAUUGCAGUUUCGCAUGGAACAGCAAUUAAAGGAGUAAUCCGCUAUGAGAUGGGCCCGCGGCGCAUUAGCUAGUUGGUGAGGUAACGGCUCACCAAGGCGACGAUGCGUAGCCGACCUGAGAGGGUGAUCGGCCACAUUGGGACUGAGACACGGCCCAGACUCCUACGGGAGGCAGCAGUGGGGAAUAUUGCACAAUGGGGGAAACCCUGAUGCAAGCAACGCCGCGUGAGUGAUGACGGCCUUCGGGUUGUAAAGCUCUGUCUUCAGGGACGAUAAUGACGGUACCUGAGGAGGAAGCCACGGCUAACUACGUGCCAGCCGCAGC